UACGUGUGGAGCUAGCGUUGUUCGGAAUUACUGGGCAUAAAGGGCACGUAGGCGGAACGUCGUGUCCAGGGUGAAAUCCCGGGGCUCAACCCCGGAACUGCCCUUGAAACUGGGAAGCUAGAAUCUUGGAGAGGCGAGUGGAAUUCCGAGUGUAGAGGUGAAAUUCGUAGAUAUUCGGAAGAACACCAGUGGCGAAGGCGACUCGCUGGACAAGUAUUGACGCUGAGGUGCGAAAGCGUGGGGAGCAAACAGG
rnacentral:rRNA from 1 species